GGGCUCCCAAAACUGCUCUGGCCCCCUCUUGGUUCCUGGAGUCUGGCAUGCUUCCUUCUACCACCAGGCCUUUGCACAUGCUGCUGUCUUCUAGGAAUGCCUUGCCUUUCUUCAUUACUUAGUUCCCCUCUACUCAUCUUUCAGGUGCCAGCUUGACUGUCUUCCUUGGGGGAGCUUCUCUGACAUUGGUACACCAGAUCAACCCCCAUGUGCAGACUUUGUCUCAUUGAAUCCUUUCCCAGAGUCCAGUGCUCCUUCCUGUCCAGGAUCACCUUCUGGUGGAUCACAGGGUUGAUCAUCCGGGGCUACCACCAGCCCCUGGAGAGCAGUGGCCUCUGGUCCUUAAACAAGGAGGACAUGUUGGAACAAGUCAUGCCUGUUUUGGUAAAGAACUGGAAGAAGAAAUGCACCAAGUCCAGGUAGUAAGUGUGUUUCCUCAUCC